GACGAACGCUGGCGGCGUGCUUAACACAUGCAAGUCGAACGGAAAGGCCCUGCUUUUGUGGGGUGCUCGAGUGGCGAACGGGUGAGUAACACGUGAGUAACCUGCCCUUGACUUUGGGAUAACUUCAGGAAACUGGGGCUAAUACCGGAUAGGAGCUCCUGCUGCAUGGUGGGGGUUGGAAAGUUUCGGCGGUUGGGGAUGGACUCGCGGCUUAUCAGCUUGUUGGUGGGGUAGUGGCUUACCAAGGCUUUGACGGGUAGCCGGCCUGAGAGGGUGACCGGCCACAUUGGGACUGAGAUACGGCCCAGACUCCUACGGGAGGCAGCAGUGGGGAAUAUUGCGCAAUGGGCGGAAGCCUGAUGCAGCAACGCCGCGUGCGGGAUGACGGCCCUCGGGUUGUAAACCGCUUUCGCCUGUGACGAAGCGUGAGUGACGGUAAUGGGUAAAGAAGCACCGGCUAACUACGUG
rnacentral:rRNA from 1 species